UUUGAUACGACCGUACCGCAAACCGACACUGGUGCGCGAGAUGAGUAUUCUAAGGCGCUUGAGAGAACUCAGGAGAAGGAACUCGGCAAAUUGACACCGUAACUUCGGAAGAAGGUGUGCCCUAUUAGUGUGUAGUGAACAACGAAGCAUGAAUGGGUUGCAAAAAAUCGGUGGCUGCGACUGUUUAUUAAAAACACAGCACUCUGCAAACACGAAAGUGGACGUAUAGGGUGUGACGCCUGCCCGGUGCUGGAAGAUUAAAUGAUGGGGUGCAAGCUCUUGAUUGAAGUCCCAGUAAACGGUGGCCGUAACGAUAACGGUCCUAAGGUAGCGAAAUUCCUUGUCGGGUAAGUUCCGACCUGCACGAAUGGCGUAACGAUGGCCACACUGUCUCCUCCUGAGACUCAGCGAAGUUGAAAUGUUUGUGAUGAUGCAAUCUCCCCGCGGAAAGACGGAAAGACCCCAUGAACCUUUACUGUAGCUUUGUAUUGGACUUUGAACAGAUCUGUGUAGGAUAGGUGGGAGGCUUUGAAGCAGGGUCGCUAGAUCUUGUGGAGCCAACGUUGAAAUACCACCCUGGUGUGUUUGAGGUUCUAACCUAGGUCCAUUAUCUGGAUCGGGGACAGUGCAUGGUAGGCAGUUUGACUGGGGCGGUCUCCUCCCAAAGCGUAACGGAGGAGUUCGAAGGUACGCUAGUUACGGUCGGACAUCGUGACGAUAGUGCAAUGGCAUAAGCGUGCUUAACUGCGAGACUGACAAGUCGAGCAGAUGCGAAAGCAGGACAUAGUGAUCCGGUGGUUCUGUAUGGAAGGGCCAUCGCUCAACGGAUAAAAGGUACUCUGGGGAUAACAGGCUGAUACCGCCCAAGAGUUCAUAUCGACGGCGGUGUUUGGCACCUCGAUGUCGGCUCAUCUCAUCCUGGGGCUGUAGCCGGUCCCAAGGGUAUGGCUGUUCGCCAUUUAAAGAGGUACGUGAGCUGGGUUUAAAACGUCGUGAGACAGUUUGGUCCCUAUCUUCCGUGGGCGCUGCAGAUUUGAGGAAGCCUGCUCCUAGUACGAGAGGACCGGAGUGGACACACCUCUGGUGUAUCGGUUGUCACGCCAGUGGCAUUGCCGAGUAGCUAAGUGCGGAAGAGAUAACCGCUGAAAGCAUCUAAGCGGGAAACUCGUUUCAAGAUGAGAUCUGCCGGGGCCUUGAGCCCCCUAAAGAGUCGUUCAAGACCAGGACGUUGAUAGGUCAGGUGUGGAAGCCAAAAAAAAAAGAGAAAAAAAGAAGAUAGAGC
rnacentral:rRNA from 1 species